rnacentral:rRNA from 1 species
GUGAGGAAUUUUGCGCAAUGGGGGAAACCCUGACGCAGCAACGCCGCGUGAGUGAUGAAGGCCUUCGGGUCGUAAAGCUCUGUCAAGUGGGAAGAAACUGAUUAAUGAUAAUACAAUUAAUUACUGACGGUACCACUGAAGGAAGCACCGGCUAACUCCGUGCCAGCAGCCGCGGUAAUACGGAGGGUGCAAGCGUUAUUCGGAAUCAUUGGGCGUAAAGGGCGCGCAGGCGGUUUUUUAAGUCAGAUGUGAAAGCCCGGGGCUUAACCCCGGAAGUGCAUUUGAAACUGAAAAACUUGAGUAUGGGAGAGGGAAGUGGAAUUCCUGGUGUAGAGGUGAAAUUCGUAGAUAUCAGGAGGAACACCGGUGGCGAAGGCGACUUCCUGGACCAAUACUGACGCUGAGGCGCGAAGGCGUGGGUAGCAAACAGGAUUAGAUACCCGUGUAGUCC